rnacentral:rRNA from 1 species
AACAGGAUUCCCCUAGUAACUGCGAGUGAAGCGGGAAGAGCUCAAAUUUAAAAUCUGGCGUGCCUUUGGUCGUCCGAGUUGUAGUCUGGAGAAGCGUUUUCCGUGUUGGACCGUGUAUAAGUCUCUUGGAACAGGGCGUCAUAGAGGGUGAGAAUCCCGUCUUUGACACGGACUACCAAUGCUUUGUGAUGCGCUCUCAAAGAGUCGAGUUGUUUGGGAAUGCAGCUCAAAAUGGGUGGUAAAUUCCAUCUAAAGCUAAAUAUAGGCGAGAGACCGAUAGCGAACAAGUACCGUGAGGGAAAGAUGAAAAGCACUUUGGAAAGAGAGUUAAACAGUACGUGAAAUUGCUGAAAGGGAAACGCUUGAAGUCAGUCGCGUCUGCCAGGACUCAGCCUUGCUUUUGCUUGGUGCACUUUCUGGUCGGAUGGCCAACAUCAAUUUUGACCGUUGGAGAAAGGCUUUGGGAAUGUGGCACCUUCGGGUGUGUUAUAGCCCUCGGUCGUAUACGACGGUUGGGAUUGAGGAUCGCAGCACGCCUUUAUGGCCGGGGUUCGCCCACGUACGUGCUUAGGAUGUUGGCAUAAUGGCUUUAAGCGACCC